AACGCACAUUGCGCCCCUUGGUAUUCCAUUGGGCAUGCCUGUUCGAGCGUCAUUUACACCCUCAAGCUCUGCUUGGUGUUGGGCGUCUGUCCUUGCCAUGUGCAAAGACUCGCUCUAAAUGUAUUGGCAGCGGCAUCGCCAGCUUCUUGCGCAGCACAUUGCGCUUCAAGAUUUUGAUGAGCUUGCAUCCAUCAAGAACCCCCCAAGUUUGACCUCGAAUCAGGUAGGGAUACCCGCUGAACUUAA
rnacentral:misc_RNA from 1 species